rnacentral:rRNA from 1 species
UACGUAGGGGGGCGAGCGUUUGUCCGAAGUUACUGGGCGUAAAGCGCACGUAGGCGGGUUGGCAAGUCUGCUGUGAAAGCCCGGGGCUUAACUCCGGAGGGUCGGUGGAUACUGCCAGUCUUGAAGGUGCUAGGGAGAGAUGGAAUUACCGGUGUAGCGGUGAAAUGCGUAGAUAUCGGUAGGAACACCAGUGGCGAAGGCGGUCUCUUGGGGCAUUCUUGACGCUGAGGCGCGAAAGCUGGGGGGAGCGAACGGG